rnacentral:lncRNA from 1 species
AUGAUUAUUUAAAGCAAUCAUAAUGAUUUUUUUUUCUUCUUUUUGUGGUCGUGGUAUUUAAACUUUUGCAAUUACUGCGCAAUGUCAUCUAGCAAGUGUAUUCUUACGAACCAUAACUACUAAUUGACCGUCCUCGUGCGCAGAAAUCUAAUUGUAAGGAGUUCAGUAAUUUAACUUGUCACUGUUUCUUCUUCAUAACAUAACAUAAAAGGUAAUGAAUAAAUAAGAAGCUAACAUGACAACAACAAUAACAAUCAGCCUGAUCGGACAAAAAUAAAUUAGAAUUAUGAAUUCCAAAGGCGAUUUUAGUUGGAUAUCUGAAGACACGCACCACGCAGGAGUUUAUAUGUGUAAUGCGUGUAUACAUACAUGAUUUACGAUAUAAAAUCCAUAUAUAUGUAUUAAAUGAGCUAGGAAAACUGGCUGUACAAGUGUAUAGCUUUAAGGAGUAUGCGAAGCCUGUCACUCGAGUUUGGCCGAGGUUGGAAUGCACUAUCUUUAAAUACAUAUACAUCCUAGUUAAAAGUCACGUCACUAAAAAAUUGUUAUCCAAUUCUAUUGUCAACCUGACUGAAGCAAACUCUACAAAAACUAAAUAAGUGUGUUACGUAAAAAUGAAGUAUAUAUGUAAGUACUUUGAUGACAAUCGCGGGUUUUAAACCCCGUGGAAGAGGAAUCUUAUGAUAAUAUCAAUAUUAAUAUUAUAGUAUUAGUGUUAGUAUAAUGGGAAAUGAUUUUAAAACAGAUGUUCUUUAAGAGCGAUGACGUCAUUAUGACUAAUAUUUAAAGUUCAAACAUUUAAUUGUUGGUAUUAUGUGAUGGUGUGUUUGAAUAAUAAAAAAAUUUUUCAUGAGGAUAUUGACAUUAAUAAACGAAUAUUUAAAUAGCAGGUAUCCAUGAAAUAAAAAUAUUUUAAAAUUACGUAGAAAACAGAGUUUAGAUCAUUGAAGCGUUGAAUUCACUGUAGAAAGUUUUCACGAUAACGGUUUUGAAACUGACGGUUAAAGGUGUCUAUACCUAAACCGAAAGUCUCAUGUCUACUACACUUGAUAUGUCGUAUGUAUAUGUAUAGUUUUAUUUACUAUUUACUGUGUAUUAGAUAUUGUCAAUUACAUUCCAGCAAUAGGUGACGCGGUUAUAUAGCCUUGAUAAAAAUUACAUGUCAAAAAUAUACUUCUAGAUAUUUUUCAGAUAAAUAUUAUUGAAUUCAUUUUGACAGGAAAUUUUUGCACCAAUUUUUCAGUGAUAUCGUAAUAUAAUUUUGAAAAAAGGAUUAACAGAAGAAUAAUUUUUUAAGCAAAUAUUACAUUAAUAUCUUUAAAAUAAAUAAAAGAUUGGAUAAUAAUUAAGCGAGGUGAUACUCUGGGAAGAUAAAAAUUUAAUGAAAGAAUUAUCUGUUUAAUAUAAUGUGUAAUAUGAUUAUGAGAGUUAUAAAGCUCAGUAGAGUUUUAGUAUAAGAAAAAUAAAGAUUGUGAUAUGUUAAA